ensembl:snRNA
UGAAAGGGCUUCUGCCGUGCGUGGCACGGGGGGGCUGCGGCCAGCCCCGCGGAAUCGACAUCAAGAGAUUUCGGAAGCACAAUUUUUGUGGGGGGGGUCGCCGGAUAAAAAAAUAUUUUCCCGGGUAACUAC